rnacentral:rRNA from 1 species
UACGUAGGGGGCAAGCGUUGUCCGGAAUCAUUGGGCGUAAAGAGCGUGUAGGCGGCUCGGUAAGUCCGCUGUGAAAGUCCAGGGCUCAACCCUGGAAAGCCGGUGGAAACUGUCGAGCUAGAGUCCGGAAGAGGCGAGUGGAAUUCCUGGUGUAGCGGUGAAAUGCGCAGAUAUCAGGAGGAACACCAAUGGCGAAGGCAGCUCGCUGGGACGGUACUGACGCUGAGACGCGAAAGCGUGGGGAGCAAACCGG